UACGUAGGGUGCGGGCGUUAAUCGGAAUUACUGGGCGUAAAGCGUGCGCAGGCGGUUUUGUAAGCCAGAUGUGAAAUCCCCGGGCUUAACCUGGGAAUGGCAUUUGGGACUGCAAGGCUUGAGUGCGGCAGAGGAGACUGGAAUUCCUGGUGUAGCAGUGAAAUGCGUAGAUAUCAGGAAGAACACCCGUGGCGAAGGCGGUUCUCUGGGACGGUACUGACGCUGAGACGCGAAAGCGUGGGGAGCGAACAGG
rnacentral:rRNA from 1 species